UACGUAGGGUGCAAGCGUUGUCCGGAAUUAUUGGGCGUAAAGAGCUCGUAGGCGGUUUGUCGCGUCGGCUGUGAAAACUCGGGGCUCAACCCCGAGCCUGCAGUCGAUACGGGCAAACUAGAGUGUGGUAGGGGAGACUGGAAUUCCUGGUGUAGCGGUGAAAUGCGCAGAUAUCAGGAGGAACACCGAUGGCGAAGGCAGGUCUCUGGGCCACUACUGACGCUGAGAAGCGAAAGCAUGGGGAGCGAACAGG
rnacentral:rRNA from 1 species